rnacentral:lncRNA from 1 species
CACGCACUACUCUUGGUCAGCCUCACAAUUUCCCCAGCUGGGCUCCUGCUGGAGGUGGUUCUGGAAACCCCCAGAAACUACCAUUCAGUCUCCACUUUGGCUCCCAGGCCUGCGCACACUGCCAAUCCUCUGCCUGUCUGUCUGCCCAUCACAUACCCAGUCCCACACCCGAUGGCCUACCCAACCCCAAAUGGUCGGGGUGACGUCAUGAUGAAUCUGGCUAAAUAUUUGACUACACCGCUCGGACUUCACCUUGCCGCACUAAACUUGGGACUGAUCCAGAGUUUAGAUUGACCUUGCUGGAUUUUGGACCGACCUCACCAAAUUUCCGACCAACCACCCCAGUACAUGCGAAGCCUGAACUUCUGUCUAGACUCCCAGGACUUUGAGAUGAACUGACGGAGUUUCUGAUUGAUUUUGCAGAAGUUUUCACAGAACUUAACUGAAAAUAAUGUGGCCUGGCUUUCCUGAAUUUUCAUCUCACCUGACAGCACAUGGAAUGAAUUAGCCACAUGCUACUGAGAAUAAGAGGAACAGAAGAUAUGAGGGUGCUCAUGAUGUGCCAACCCCCUUCAGACUGUUUUCUAUGUACUAACUCAUGUAAUCCUCCAACAAUCCUAUAGGACAGGUGGUAUUAUUUCCCCCAAAACGCACACCCCCACUUUGCAGAUGAGCAACAAGAGGCUCCACAGGAUAACGUAAUGUGCCAAGUUAAUGUGGCUAAAAAGCAGCAGAGCCAGGCUUUGAAGCUGGGAGGGCUGUCUCCAGAGCACACCUGUGUAACGACCAUUCCACACGGCCCUCAGCGAGAUGAAAGAGGCACCACUGGAAUUUACAGCCCAGAAGGGAAGCUACAGCUUGUAUAUAAAUUAUCCUAAUACAGGUUGGGGAAGUGAUAAGUGACCAAGAGAGAAACAGAUAAUAUCCCCUGGGAGUAUAGAUGAGGAGAAAAUUGCUUCCAGCUGGAAGAAGAUGGGAAGUUUUAUGGAAUAGGUGACAUUUUAGCUGAGCCUCAAUGGACAGGUGGGAUUUGGAGCUAUGGAGAUUUGGGGAGAGGGAGCAGUGGGGAUUGUAUUUAGGGAGAGCAGCUUGUUCUGCUGGGAAAUGACAAGCAACAGAGGAAGGAGACUAGAGAAGAGGACAUCUGAGCCAAGUGCAGAGGGUUAUGAGCGGCCCUCUGCACACGCUGCCCCUUUCACACUGACUGCAGCAAUGGAGAGGCAAUGGUGUCUGGGCAUGGGAGAGACGCAGUCAGGACUGUGCUUUGAGAAUUGUGCAUGGCGUCAGCAGAAGCAGGGGACAGCAUGUACACUGGGGAUUCUGGCAGGAAAUAGUCUGACUUAGGG